CUCAGCUGUUAAACUAUGUGUGAGUUGUGGGUAUGAACUUUGGUUCUCAUAUCAACAGCUUCCCUAUUUUCGUUGCCCCAUCUUCUUCGUUGCUAUCUGUACAAAAAACAAUCCACGCGAUUCCAACUGAUUGUAGGCAUUUGAUUUUCUCCUGUUCUAGUAUUGGCAUCUAUCUAAGUUUAACAGAGAUAAAAUUAAGUUAUUUUAUCCAUUCAUGAAUGAAUUUUACUUUGGAAGGGAUUAUGCUACAAUUAUUUAUAUUAUUCCAUAAAUGAAUGUGUUAGAAUGGAAUUGUUGAUGUAGUCGUGAGUUAGGCAGUACAUUUCGGUGAUAGAUUGGUAAUGUAAAACUGAUGUAGUGGAUUAUGGUGAUGCUCAUAGGACUUCACCAUUUUUAUUUCUUUGAAAUUUUGGAAGUGACUCUCAACUGUUUGUCAAAAUGUCCACGCCAAUUAAUUUUAAUAUGGUGAUGAUGAUUGUGGGUUUACAGAGGAGGUGGCGGUUGAUAAAGAUUGUGGUGGUGGUAGUGAUUAGGUGAACGAGGAGGUGGUGUUGGAGGAAGAAAUGGGAGAUGGGAUAAAAUAGGGUUAAGACAGCGAAGUGGCAUGUCACAUCGCAUUCACCUUAUCAAAAUAUCAGACUACGUAGGAUGGCAUUGUCCAUGGUGGAGGGUCCUAACGGAGGAGGGGUAUAAUUGAUCCAAUUCUAUAGCGUCAGGGAUAAUGGUGGACGAAUAGUAUAACAAACGGUAUAAAUGAUCAUUUUCGCAUAGUAUAGGGGUAUUUUUGGCCCAUUUCCGUUUUGGUGAAGUUUGGAGCUGCAGAUUUUGCUGGUGUUAGUUUUUCAUCGCGAUCGCGGAACAAGUCUCGCAAUCGCGUAAGGUAAUUAAUGGCUGAGGGACUUGUUACUCGCGUUCGCGAAAAGGGGUAGCAUUCAAGUACAAUUGUGGGCAAGUUCUUCGCAUUCGUAUGUGGUGGUACGCGUUCGUGCAGAAGUGGAGUCAGGCGGAAGGUUUGGCCUUCGCGUUCAUGGAGGGAUUCUCAUAUUCGCAUAGGUUGGGCAGUGUUGGUCUUCGUGUUCGCACGGCAGGUGUCGCGUUGCAAAGAGGAGUUGGAGCUAGGGGUUGCAUUUAGCUUUCGCGAUCGCGAGUGGCCUAUCGCGAUUGCAAUGGGUAUCACAAGGCAGUGUAUGUUAUGGAUCAUUCGAAUUUGGUAUUGGUUUUAGAUUUUGGGCACGUGAACUCGGGUUGACUUUUGUUUACUUUUUGAGAAUUCAUCAAAGAUCGAAACUUUAUGAAUUGGGAUCGCUUCCUAUAGUAUUGAUUGACUUCCUUGGAUGAUGUUUUUCUUGGAUUUGCAUGAUUGGAGGCUAAAAUGAGAUUUUGAUACGAUUUGAGGUUGAAGACUAGUCUGAUUAGCGUGCAGAUUUCAGAGCUGAGCUGAUGUGGAUCUUGGAGGCUAGCAAUGAGGAUGUACUCGAACUCCAGCUGCAAGCUACCACCUUGUUCAUGGUAGUUUAGGAUUUGAACUUCUUUUUAUGUAUAUUCAAACAUAUGUUGUAUUUUCUUUGUAUCAACAUUGUAAAUUUAAAUUUU